CCUCUCCUGUCAGUGCUAGGGUGUAGCUACUGAUCCCAUACUACGGCGCAGAAAGCGAGAGUGAAAGGGGGAGGUGGAACAUCAGGUGUCACAGCUCCACAGCCCCAGAUGAGGCUGCAUCACCACGACAACCGGGGGUGCCGUCAGCUCUCUGUGCCCCACCAGCCAAGCACCCGACCAUCCGCCCAGCCAGCUAUCCCGCAGUCUACCAACCCAUCCCUCCACCCAUCCCUCCAUCCACCCCGGCGAAGCGAGGCCAGCGCCGGUUGGAACUGGCAACCUGCAGAAGUCAUCAGGGUUAGUGCUCGUUUGGCACGCCUCAGUGCCAGAACCAUCUGCAAGCAUCUGGCUGCAACUUGUAAAUUUAUAGAUCUGCAUUUAAACUUAAAGCCAGGAAAUGAAAAAAGAUUACAGCAACAGGAAAAAAAGGGAAAAGAAGCCUUGUUUUUAAAAAAAAUUCUUCAGUCAAGUGACGAUGUGUCGUUCUCUGUAUGUUCCUUUAAAGUCUUAUAGGAUAUUCACUUUCAGAUGAUUUAUUCUGUAAUCUUUUCAUGCUUUUACUCUUGCUGAUUUCUCUGUGUGAUAACCUUGAGUAAAAAUAGCAGCGUUUCAUGGUUUUUACAGACCUGAAGCAAACAAAGUGUAACUGGGUUGAAAUGAUGGAACACAAAGUUAGUUAUAAAACAUAUUAUUAUUGAUCUAGCAAUGUUAUCAAUAUCACUUUUUAAAUAUUUUAUUUUUGCUCACUUUUUGACAAUGCUGCUCUUUAGAGUAGCUCAAAGCUAGCAUUUGCCUAUAAGCGAGGAGAAAGUGUGAUUAACCUUUCAGCCAGCUGACUGGAAGUGCGCAACAAAGAUGUGGGGGAGGGGCUGCCAGGUUUCUUUUCUCUAGCAUCUCAUGAACUGUAAGCUGGAUGAAUGGUGAUGCAGGACGUGGACCAGUUCAACCCAAAUUCCAAGUAAAUUAUUCCACGUCCGUUUCCUCAUGUCAGUCGUCUAAUGCGAUGCAUUCAAAGGUGGCUAUCUUCUCAAAUGUAUCGUGACACUUUCACGCACGAUAAGGAACAUUCUUCCAUUUCCACACCCGUUCUUCCCACCGCUCCCAUUAGCCUACACACAUCCGCCGAGCGCAGAUUAUGAAGCAUCACUGGAUUAAGUUAAAGCCGUGCCGCUCUGCUAAUAACUUAAACACCGCGAGCGCUUUGCCCAUUUUUUUUUUCCCCCUGCAGUUCAUCUGGGACGCACUGUUAAAAAAAAAAAAAAAAAAAGACAAAGCUGAACUAAAUGAGUACCAGUGCCCAGGCCUUAUCGCAUCUGAGUGGGCGUGGGGCUUGUGUGUCGGCGUGUAAUGGAGACGAUGUGUGUGUGCACAAAGUGUGUAUGAGCUCCACGUUUAUACAUACAGGGA